rnacentral:miRNA from 1 species
ACUCUCACCGGCCGAGAGGGAUUCCUCCCGGCCGCUGAGAGUGUAUACUCUCACCGGCCGAGAGGAAUCCCUCUUGGUCGAUGAGAGU